AGUGAACGCUGGCGGCAGGCCUAACACAUGCAAGUCGAGCGGCAGCGCGGGGGCAACCCUGGCGGCGAGCGGCGGACGGGUGAUGAAUUCUUCGGAAUCUGCCUUUUUGUGGGGGAUAACGUAGGUAAACUUACGCUAAUACCGCAUACGUCCUACGGGAGCAAGUGGGGGCCCGCAAGGCCUCACGCAGAUAGAUGAGCCGACGACCGAUUAGCUAGUUGGUGGGGUAAAGUCCCACCAAGGCGACGAGCGCUAGCUGGUAUGAGAGGAUGAUCAGCCACACUGGGAGUGAGAAACGGCACAGACUCCUACGGGAGGAAGCAGUGGGGAAUAUUGGACAAGGGGCGCAAGCCUGAUCCAGCCAAGCCGCGUGUGUGAAGAAGGCCUUCGGGUUGUAAAGCACUUUUGUCCGGAAAGAAAUCCCUGGAGCUAAUACCGGCGGGGGAUGACGGUACCGGAAGAAUAAGCACCGGCUAACUUCGUG
rnacentral:rRNA from 1 species